rnacentral:rRNA from 1 species
UACAGGUGGUGCAUGGCUGUCGUCAGUUCGUGUCGUGAGAUGUUGGGUUAAGUCCCGCAACGAACGCAACCUUUGUUUUUCAUUGUGUUUUCAGAUUGAAAAAGACUGCAGUGAUAAGCUGGAGGAAGGUGAAGAUGACGUCAAGUCAGCAUGCCCCUUAUAUCUUGGGCGACACACGUGCUACAAUGAUUAAAACAAUGCGUUUUUUAUUGCAAAAUAUAAAUAACCGUUAAAUUUGAUCUUAGUUCGAAUUCGUUUCUGCAACUCGAAACGAUGAAGUAGGAAUCGCUAGUAAUCGCUGGUCAGCCAUACAGCGGUGAAUACGUUCCCGGG